CCCUGGUUAGCUCAGUUGGUAGAGCGCUCCACUUGUAAUGGAAUUUCUUUGUUUUGUUGUUGCGAUUAGGGA
rnacentral:tRNA from 1 species